GUGAAUCAUCGAAUCUUUGAACGCAAAUUGCACUCUCUGGUAUUCCGGAGAGUAUGCCUGUUUGAGGGUCAGUUAAAUUCAAAGCGUUGCUUUUUCUUCCUUUCGUGGUGAUGCGUCGGUUUUGAGUCGUUUUACCUUUUGUUAGGCUUCUUAAAAUUUUUGCAUGAGUUUUGUACGUAUUUAUAACUUUUACUUACGUUUGUGAUAUCGAAUGCUUAUUAGGUUCGUUCAUUCCCAUGUUUCGCGCCUAUACUUUUUCAUAAAAUUUUCU
rnacentral:misc_RNA from 1 species